UUCUCGCAUACUCUCCCGAAAUAGGUCGGCGGUACAAGUUUUCGAAGGAAAAUACAAACAAAAUAAAAUCGUUUUGGCGCGCCCCCUCCCGCAUUCAACGGCGUCCUAGGCCAGAGCCUCCGUCAGACGAAUGGUCAUUGUGCACCAUGCGUAUAUUAUGAUGCACGGGUAGAAGGUGCGAUCGGAAAUCGUAUGCACGCGUCACCGGUCGAAAUUUAAACACCUAUCCGCGGGACAUUGACGAUAACACGACGGUUAAACAUUGGUGACCGGACGACCGCGGCGGUUUCCGAGCGGCAAAACGGAAUCGAAACCGAACGAACGGACGAGGGAGGGAGGGGGAGGGAAACGACCGCCACGUACGACGAGAGUCUUGGCACAGCUGGCGCACGCGCCGCAAAAACCGC